rnacentral:rRNA from 1 species
AUUGAACGCUGGCGGCAGGCCUAACACAUGCAAGUCGAACGGUAACAGAAAGUAGCUUGCUACUUUGCUGACGAGUGGCGGACGGGUGAGUAAUGUCUGGGGAUCUGCCUGAUGGAGGGGGAUAACUACUGGAAACGGUAGCUAAUACCGCAAAAUGUCGCAAGACAAAAGCGGGGGACGUUCGGGCUUCGCAACAUCAGAUGAACCCAGAUGGGAUUAGCUAGUAGGUAGGGUAAUGGCUUACCUAGGCGACGAUCCCUAGCAGGUCUGAGAGGAUGACCAGCCACACUGGAACUGAGACACGGCCCAGACUCCUACGGGAGGCAGCAGUGGGGAAUAUUGCACAAUGGGCGCAAGUCUGAUGCAGCCAUGCCGCGUGUAUGAAGAAGGCCUUCGGGUUGUAAAGUACUUUCAGUCAGGAGGAAGGGUGUGAAAUUAAUACUUUCAGUCAUUGACGUUACUGACAGAAGAAGCACCGGCUAACUCCGUGCCAGCCGCCGCUGUAA